rnacentral:rRNA from 1 species
CCUACGGGUGGCUGCAGUGGGGAAUAUUGGAUAAUGGGGGCAACCCUGAUCCAGCCAUGCCGCGUGUGUGAAGAAGGCCCUCGGGUUGUAAAGCACUUUCAGUGAGGAAGAACGCCUGGUGGUUAAUACCCAUCAGGAAAGACAUCACUCACAGAAGAAGCACCGGCUAACUCCGUGCCAGCAGCCGCGGUAAUACGGAGGGUGCGAGCGUUAAUCGGAAUUACUGGGCGUAAAGCGCGCGUAGGUGGCUUGAUAAGCCGGUUGUGAAAGCCCCGGGCUCAACCUGGGAACGGCAUCCGGAACUGUCAAGCUAGAGUGCAGGAGAGGAAGGUAGAAUUCCCGGUGUAGCGGUGAAAUGCGUAGAGAUCGGGAGGAAUACCAGUGGCGAAGGCGGCCUUCUGGACUGACACUGACACUGAGGUGCGAAAGCGUGGGUAGCAAACAGGAUUAGAUACCCGUGUAGUC